ACCACCGUUAGAGCAGCAUUUCUUUCUGGACAUUGUUCCUGUGUGGAGUUUUUGAGGUGAGCCUCAGCACUGUUGAGCAUCCAUCUCAACUGAGAGUCUCAGCACUGGCACGUUGGAGGGCUUUCCCCAUAUUCCUCUUUAAACUCUCCUGUGGAUGGAAUGAUGUCAAUCCUGAUUACAGAAGCUCCAAGUUCAUCCAGUCCAACUGUCCACCUACCACCAGUAUCUCCCCAUUAAUCACAUCCAGGGACAAUGACUCAACCACCUCCCUGGACAGCCUGUUCCAGCUCC